rnacentral:rRNA from 1 species
GACAGAGGGUGCAAACGUUGUUCGGAAUUACUGGGCGUAAAGCGCGCGUAGGCGGCUUUGUAAGUUAGAGGUGAAAGCCCGGGGCUCAACCCCGGAACUGCCUUUAAAACUGCAUCGCUUGAAUCCGGGAGAGGUGAGUGGAAUUCCGAGUGUAGAGGUGAAAUUCGUAGAUAUUAGGAAGAACACCGGUGGCGAAGGCGGCCCACUGGCUCGAUACUGACGCUGAGGUGCGAAAGCGUGGGGAGCAAACAGG